AUUAAUAUACCGGUUUUCGUUAAAUCACCGAAGUCAAGUAUUAUUGGACGCGGUCAGUACUUGGAUAGGCGACCACCUGGGAACACCGCGUGCCGUU